ACGCAGCCCGACUUGAGCGGAGCUCAUUUUUUGCUUGGAUUUAACGUAGGCAAAAAAUAGCGGGAGCGGAAGGCGGAUCAAGC
rnacentral:misc_RNA from 1 species